UACAGAGGGGGCGAGCGUUGUUCGGAAUUACUGGGCGUAAAGGGCGCGUAGGCGGCCUGCUAUGUCGAACGUGAAAUCCCCGGGCUCAACCCGGGAACUGCGUCCGAAACUGGCAGGCUUGAAUCCGGGAGAGGGAUGUGGAAUUCCAGGUGUAGCGGUGAAAUGCGUAGAUAUCUGGAGGAACACCGGUGGCGAAGGCGGCAUCCUGGACCGGUAUUGACGCUGAGGAGCGAAAGCGUGGGGAGCGAACAGG
rnacentral:rRNA from 1 species